GUGAUCGAUCCAGAAGGAUGGUGUACGAUCACUUGUUUAGGAUAGAUGUGUCUUGAGUCUACGGUGAGGAGACACCAGAGCGAGAGUACAGAUAUUCAUUGAGAACAAGAGUACUGAGCGUCAGCAUAUCAAGCAGUCAUAAGGAAGUCUACCUUCUCGUCGAUGACUAGCUCGAUGCUGCAAUAGUGUGUCUAGUUCUUUGACCUGAGGUGCAUCGACAGUUCACCUUGAGUGUGUAAUAGUUUGACUACACCAUAACUCGGUCUCCUAGCUAUUCAGAAUUUUGAGGUGUAUGUUGGCUGUAGCAUAUUCAUUAUAGGAACUAAGUCGCACUA
rnacentral:lncRNA from 1 species